rnacentral:lncRNA from 1 species
AGAAAAUGCUCGAAAGAAACAGGAUGGGGUUGUUAGCACUUCCAUCAUUUAUUUCACGGAGCAUUCUCCUCCAUUGCCACCGUACACUCCACCCACUCUAAAGCUUCGGAACAUCCUCGAUCUCAGCCCCUUCACUGUGACUGACCUUACACCCAUGGAGAUCGUAGUGGAUAUUUUCCGAAAGCUGGGACUGCGGCAGUGCCUGGUUACACACAACGGGCGAUUGCUUGGAAUCAUUACCAAAAAGGAUGUGUUAAAGCAUAUAGCAC